rnacentral:rRNA from 1 species
UCCGACCGCGACCCCAGGUCAGGCGGGAUCACCCG